CUUGUUUGUGUGCGUAAAAUUGCAAUAAGCUGUUGCAAAAUAAUUUUUAUACGUUUAUAGACGUUACGUGUAACGUAAUAUUUAUAUAUUCCAGUCAUCUUGGCCAAAUAUCUCGGAAAAUCGACAUAGACAGUAUAUUACCACGUGUAAACUUAGCACCCUAAAACUAUUCUCAAAAUUCACAUAUAAUUGGAUAAAAGCAAAUUUUAAAGUCGGGGAUCAAAAGUUACAAAAAUCGAUUUUUUUUGCAAAUAUCUCGUUUUCUAUGGGUUUUACGCUACCGCCAAUUGGGGUGACUUAGGUUGGUCCAAGUGACACCUAAGGUACUUGGAUCAACCUUCCCAGAUGUACCGUUGGCACCACUGAGUUUUUGGCGGUCUAGUAAUUUCUCAUCAUUCCAAACAACUGUUUUCUCUACCAAAUAUUCAAAUAGUGCUUUAUAGUGGUGUUGAACUUUAGUUUGUGGAGCCUCCCUGAACAAAAGAUAUCCCCGCCCUUGGUACGCAACAACAAGGGAAAGCUAGGUACACGACCCUACAUGAAUUAUUCAAAAGAACUUCUGCAGGCAGACCGUGAAGAAGAAGACUGUAGACUAACUGUUUCCUCUGGCCAACGUAUGGAACCAGAUAGCAUCACAUACAAUGUUAGAGAUUUCCUUGCUGUUGAACUUAAAGGAAAGAAAUUAGUGGCACAUUACAUGGCAAAAAUACUAAGCUUUUGUAUUGAGAAGUUUCAGUCCUGCGAACAUCUGACAAGGGAAAAAAAAUCAGAUUCCCUGAAAUUUAAGGUGAGGCGACUAUGCAAGGCACAGACAUUGUUCUCAAAACAGGUACUCCACAAGAAAGAAGAGGAGUUUUCCAUGUUCCAAAUAUUUCUGAAGGGUCUUUUAAUUUUUUUUAUGUGUAUAUUUGACCAUCCUUUAUUUUCAAUACGUAUUUUAAAGUGUGAUUUAAAUGAGUUUAUUGAAGAAUUAA